UGGCAAUGCGUUCACAAAACCAAUGCUGUGUACAAGGCUGUCUGAACCAAGGCAGUAAAGAAGAGAGUAUUUCAGAUCCAGGUUUAUUGACUCAGUGGCUUCCUGACAGGGCAGAAUGAGCGUAGAGCACAGGGUCUUGCAUUUCCACAGCUUCUGUGUUUCUGAAGGUUACAAGGAGGGUCCGCUUUAUAGACAUGGAAAAAUCUGCAGAAGAUUGAAAUGAACUGUGGCAUGAUCUUCUGAAAAGGAAACGUGACCAGGUAAAGUGAGGUUGCUUGCUAUGGGUAUGAUGUGUAUAUAUAGAUUUAGAUAACCAGAAUAAUCAAAAUAAGCCAGUAAGAGCUUUAUCAAGCACCAGCUCCUCUACUUCCAGCAGAAGGGGUCAUUAGCUCUCUCUAACAUUCCAGGGCCCCUCAUCUGCUUCAGGAUUUCUGUGGAAGGCAGCGAUUGGGCUUUAUUUUGCAAAUGACCUGAUGGGGAGACCUGGAAAUAAGCUGCUUUCAAAUCUGUGUUUUUCUUCCAGAAAUCUUAAGAACGUCAGCCAGACAGGUGAGAGAAGCCUGUCCUUUGUUUUCAGCUGAAUCUGGAAAUGCUUCCUGUAGUUAACCUGUAUAUAAAUGCAGUUUGACAUAGGACAAGAGACUUGGAAUACCUCUCUUCAUUGCUGGAGACUGUUGGGUUUUAACUGACAGGAGAGAAUAUCAACCAGCAUUUAGCAUUGUUAAAUCAAAAGACAACUGGAAUUUGUCACAAAUGUGAGUCCACUGGAAGUUCCAGAAUACAGCGUCUCCAUAGAACUAUUGUGAUUUACAAGUACCUGAGCUGGGCAUUACUGAACUUGAAAAAACAGAACAUUUGCUAAUUUGCCUACUACAUUUCACAGCAGUCAACUGCCAUGUUCUCCUCCAAAGUGUUUUGCUGCACCAAAUCAAAGGGCAAACCUGGAAGAGAAAGGAAGGCAUCAACCUGCUAGUGGAAAGCUAAGGAGAGAGAAAGACGGGACCUGUAGCAGGAAGAUCGUGCCUGGAGACCACCCGCUGUUUUCAGUGCCAUCCCUGCAAAGUUCAGCAGGUCAAACCGAACCCCAGCGGAAAGAGGGUAAGCACGUCGGUAACACUGCUCGCUUUCAUUGUCUCAGCUGCGCGACAUUAAAACCACAUUACAGUGAGCAUUACCAGCGAAAUUCAGCCGAGAGACUGCAAGAGCCCUGCACUUGCUCACGUCGCUGUAGCAGGCAGGGAAGUCACAAAGCCCCGCUCUGCGCCCGCCUCCGUCUCAGCAGCUCCGUGCGGGGCAGCGGGUGCUGGAUGCCCCGGGACAGGCACGGGACAAGCCCGGCACGGCACCGGGAGCCUCGCCCGGCCCCUUGGAGCAAGGCAAGGUAGGGGCAGGCUGCUCUUAGGGGCAGGCUGCUCGAGAACAAGGGGAGUGACAGCCCGAGGGGAGUUACCGGGCAUCCCCGGGAGCGUGGGACACAAAAACCUCGGAGAGCUUCGUGAAGACGCACGGAUGAGUGGCACCAUCCCCUCUGUACGAGGGGAGGGGAUGCUGGAGGUGGUCUUCAUGCCCUUAGGACCGCAAAGUUAAUUUUGCCUCUUUCCAGCUAUGCAGCCCCAGAAUAGGUGUUGCCAAGGCAUUGGCUCAAUCAUUUUAAAAAGAUGAUAGACUGGAAAAUCAGCCUGAGCUUGAGACCGACCCAAAUCAUGAGUUUCACAGAACUGCCUGAUUUUCAGCAGAAAAUGCAUGAUGGUUACUGUGCUGGCAGAACUGGUAAUUUCUGCAAGGAAAAGGAUCAGAGUGUUCAGCAGCAGCAUUGCAACACGGGACUGGGUGAAGCAGCUUGGCCUGGGGACAGCCAUAUUCAUGGAUGCGCCAGGACUGCCAGAAUAUGAUGGCCACAAAAACUGCAGAGGGAUACUGCAGCAGUUCAGCCCCUGAAAUCCAAGACCAUGUCUCUAGGCAAGUACUUGUUUUGACUAAUUAUUAUUAUUGCUGUUUUUCACAGUAGCAUUAUGACAGGCAUCUUCAGCUCCUAGGUAGACAUACACUUUUGAAAUUGAAGCAGAAGUACAAGUAAUAAGAAAAGUUCUAGAAGUGUGGUCUACAGGGUGUUAAUACUCCGUAUGAGGAAAACUGGGCAAACUCUAAAAAAAAAAAAAGCUGGACAGUACAGGCCCUUGGUCAGCUUACUUCUCAGGUCUCAGAUAUGGGCAACCUUAGAUUGUUCUUUUGUUCUGUAAAGAUCAAUGCAAACCUUUAUUUUCUAUAAAUAAUUUAAUAAAUACUUUUGUUUUACAAUGAUACAACAAAUGACAAAUUCAUAGCAAAUGAGUCACAAAGAAUUUAGGAUCAGUAUACUUUAAUAAGGUAUCAGUGUCAAAAUACAUUUCCUUAUCAAGUUAAAGUUCCCAUACAGUUAUAAUAUUGUCAAUAAGAAUUCAGCAAUAUAGAUUAUGAAAUAAUUAUGAUAAAAAGUAUGAUUAAUAUUAAGACAUGGAAUAUUUUUCAGAGUGUUUUAGUAAACUGUUAGGGUAUAACAUUUUUAAUGCUGAAACUACACAAAUAAGAAACAGAAAAGAGCAGUAUUCAAGUGUCUUUAAUCCUUGAAGCCUUUAAGUUCUUGCCACUGAAGGUUUGUCAAAUCUGGCUUGUCAAUUUCAUUACAUUUUGAUGCUUAAAAUAUGUUCUUUUUUUCCCACAUAGAAAUAAGAUCACUUUAGGAGUAGCUUAUUUUUGGUAAUAAACUCUUGAAAGAUCUAGCUGCAAUAGGGGCUAUCUUUUUUUUUUUUUUUUUUAAUGUUAUGUACCAAUAA